rnacentral:rRNA from 1 species
GACGAACCGUGCGAACGUUGUUCGGAAUCACUGGGCGUAAAGGGUGCGUAGGCGGGUCUUUAAGUCAGGGGGGAAAUCCUGGAGCUCAACUCCAGAACUGCCUUUGAUACUGAGGAUCUUGAGUUCGGGAGAGGUGAGUGGAACUGCGAGUGUAGAGGUGAAAUUCGUAGAUAUUCGCAAGAACACCAGUGGCGAAGGCGGCUCACUGGCCCGAUACUGACGCUGAGGCACGAAAGCGUGGGGAGCAAACAGG